UAGCAUGUCCACGUCACCAAAAAUAAUCAGCCAAUCACAACAUUUCAUCUGGACACGUCACAUAGGCUGAAUCACAUUCUGUUACGUUUGGGCCUUUGGUGAGUAUUUUUUUUAUGGGUUUCGUUAUCAAGUACUCUCUCAUGCGAUUAAAUUACAAUUACGGAUUGUAUGUUUUUGUUGGGCUUUCUACAAGGGAUGGCUGGCCCAGUGCCAUGUGUAAUCAAGCUUCUUUGUUUUCAAAGCCGCAUUCUAUGAAACCUAAUUUCAUCUUCUCUAUCGUAAAACAAAACUGAGCAACGGAAUCACCAUGAUUUAUGUUGCAGCCAUAAACUCGACAUUUAAUCUCAAACGGCGAGAACGAUGGCUGCUUCCCAGAUCUCCCUUUCCGAGUUGAGGCCAGGUCGUUGUGCUCGGGUCGUUGUGACAGGCCUACUCAGAUUUUGAGAAGCUAUGAAUGUUAAGAAAAGUGGUCAACUAAUGGGUGUCGAUAUGUUUCUCUUGGAUGAUCAGAUAAGUUUAGAAGUUUUUUGUAUUACGUCUUUGUUGUCAUGCCCUCGGAUUCUAGGUUCUGAUUACAAAUAUCCUUAUUUUGCAGUCUUCUCUCAUCCAAGCAUUUGUAUCUGUUCAUCGGCUGAACACUUUCCGAGAACUUCGGGAAGGAGCUAUAUAUGAGCUUAGUGGAUUUGAUGUGACUAAAAGCAACAAUUGUUUCAAGCUUUGUGAUUCUGUUGUGGCUAUCUCGUUAAACAAGUUUACAAAGAUGGUUGAAGUGCCUGCAGUUGCUAAUCCGAUCCCUACUGAGAUGUUCAGGUUCCGAUCUGCUGAGCAACUCAUGUCGUUAGGUAAUACUAACGUUGAGCUUCCAGGUAUGUCUUCAUCUCUACUCCAUCCGACGUCCCACCAGUUUCACCUGAAAGGAAUCCACCGAAGAAGGAUCGAAAUGCAUAGACUUUGAAAAAGCAUAUAUGACGAACUAAGCCAAUGUGUUGACAUACGUUUUGUCUUUUGUUCCUCAGUUUAUGUUGGUACAGUUGGUCCACUAUCUAAUUUAUAAUUUUGUCGUAGAUGUUUUUGUUUCUAUUUGCUUGACAUUGGAAGUUUUUAAUUUUACUCUUUCCUUAUUUUAUAAUGAACCCACUCUUAUGG